GACGAACGCUGGCGGCGUGCCUAAUACAUGCAAGUAGAACGCUGAAGGAGGAGCUUGCUUCUCUGGAUGAGUUGCGAACGGGUGAGUAACGCGUAGGUAACCUGCCUGGUAGCGGGGGAUAACUAUUGGAAACGAUAGCUAAUACCGCAUAAUAGUAGAUGUUGCAUGACAUUUACUUAAAAGGUGCAAUUGCAUCACUACCAGAUGGACCUGCGUUGUAUUAGCUAGUUGGUGGGGUAACGGCUCACCAAGGCGACGAUACAUAGCCGACCUGAGAGGGUGAUCGGCCACACUGGGACUGAGACACGGCCCAGACUCCUACGGGAGGCAGCAGUAGGGAAUCUUCGGCAAUGGACGAAAGUCUGACCGAGCAACGCCGCGUGAGUGAAGAAGGUUUUCGGAUCGUAAAGCUCUGUUGUAAGAGAAGAACGAGUGUGAGAGUGGAAAGUUCACACUGUGACGGUAUCUUACCAGAAAGAGACGGCUAACUACGUG
rnacentral:rRNA from 1 species